GCUUGCACUACCAUUAGCAGUUAAAAAUCCAAGUUUUCACUUCCAUUGGAAACUAGUGAUACUCCUUGAGACUCUUGAGUGUACUGAUGUUACAAUCUGUUCUUACCUUCUUUAGUUGUUGAGCAGUGAUGGCCUGCCAAAGUGGUUGCUACUACAUUUGUUCUUCUUUUUCACUUCUGUGUCGAUUCAUGUCCUUGGUAUUUGUGAUCAUUUGCAUUUAAUAAUAAUAAUUUUCUGUCACACAGUGAUGCAUGGAUUUCCUUUGUCUCAUGGUAGCACUUCUGUUCUUGAUAAUUUUCACGCUUUUGUUGUCAAAACUUUUAAUUUUGUAUUACCAAUUUAGGACCCGGUUGCUCCUCGGUUGGCUAUGGAGCUGCUUCUGAGCUGGGGCCUCUUAGAGUUGUUAGACAAGGAGCAGAGCUGAAGUUCAGUGAAUAUGCCUGGAACAAAGAGGUAACCUGCUAUUCUUGGAGUCUCCUGUCGGGGUUGGUUUCUCCUACACUAACACAUCCUCUGACCUUGACAGUCUUAAUGGUGACUUUGUAGCUGAAGAUGCUUAUAGCUUCCUAGUGAACUGGCUUGAGCGAUUUCCGGAGUACAAGGACAGAGAGUCCUACAUCUCUGGAGAGAGCUAUGCAGACCGCGGCGCGAUCAUUUCCGCUUCCACCAUCACCACUCGCCAGGCACGACGCGAGUCGCGAUGUCUGCACUUUUGCCUUCCGGACUUUGCUGGGCACUAGGCCCCCAGUUCAUAGUUUCGCACAGGGCCUUUGGAUUUGCCGGUACAGCCCUAAGACUAGUGCCAGGAGCAGUUCAGGAGAAGGAUACGAAUGUUCUCUGGCUAUGACCCAUGCUACUCGUCCUAUGCCGAGGACUACUUCAACAAGCAGGAAAUGCAGAGAGCAUUUCACGAAAAAUGUCAGUUGGUUGCCUCCAGGGAAAUGGCAUGUCAGCAGUAUUUUCAGUCCUACCAAUAUACUCCAAGCUCUUCAAAAAAGGUCUCAAAGUUUGGCUUUACAUGUGUGAAUGCACUCGACCUGCCGAUCAAGACCCAGUGGCAAUCCUGGUACCUCGACAAAAGGUUGCCGGGAGGUUCGUGGAGUACCAUGGCACGAGCAUGGUGACGGUCAGGGGCGCAGGACACCUGGUGCCCCUCAACAAGCCGCCGAAGGGCUGACGCUGAUCAACACAUUCCUUCGCGCUGAGCAGCUUCUGAUCACUGGUGAUGGAUGGUUCAAUUGGAUAGUGCAAGGUUUUGGGGGAAUGGUUGCAAUGAUUUUUGACCUGAAACCUAGUAGAAGUUGAACUCUUUAGCGGAUUUUUCUUCCGCUCCCUCCGUUCCAAAAUGCAGUUCACUCCUGACUUUUUUAUACAAGUUUGUGUUGUAUUCAUUAGAUCGACUAGCAGUAUAAAUCAGUGGGUAUUUCAUUGA